rnacentral:rRNA from 1 species
CUACGGGAUGCACCAGUAGGGAAUAUUCCGCAAUGGGCGAAAGCCUGACGGAGCAACACCGCGUGGUCGAUGAAGCGUUUCGGCGUGUAAAGACCUUUUCUGAGGGAAGAAUUCUGACGGUACCUUAGGAAUAAGCACCUGCUAACUACGUGCCAGCAGCAGCGGUAAUACGUAGGGUGCAAGCGUUAUCCGGAAUCAUUGGGCGUAAAGCGUCCGCAGACGGUUUAUUAAGUCAGAUGUUAAAGAUCAUGGCUCAACCAUGGCAUUGUAUCUGAAACUGAUAAACUAGAGACUCGCAGAGGUACGUGGAAUUCUGUGUGUAGGGGUAAAAUCCGUUGAUACACAGAGGAACACCAAAAGCGAAGGCAGCGUACUGGGCGAGUUCUGACGUUCAUGGACGAAAGCGUGGGGAGCGAAACGGAUUAGAUACCCGCGUAGUC